GGUUCUGUUCAACACUUUGGAUAUCAAUGGGAAUUCCUUCUCCAUGGGCAUUCUGGCUGAAAACCUUAAAUGCUCACAUCUGAGGAUGUGUAGUCAAAUCUAGCUUCGAUGCAACUUUUAUUAACCAGAUGGUAACAUCUUACUUACACUUCCCAUAUAAAACCAUCUGUGCUUCGACUGGGGAGAUGCUGUCUCUUGCUACACUUGGGAGUUUGGCUGCAGGGGGUGUAGCAUUGCUUUUGUUAGCAUCCAGUCUCCCUCUCUCAUCAGAGCUGAAUAUGUAACACUGGUUUUAUUUAACCUUGUUUUAAUUAGAGGGUUACAAAGCUGCAGUUGGCUUUUUCUGCACCAGUCGGUUGGCACUCUGGAUCUUGCUGCCUUUAAACAAAACUGAAAUUUCUUGCCUUGUUUUCCCUUGGUAUUGAAACUGCAGUCGGCUUCCUCUGUUUUCAUCCAAUGGCUCCUGCAUCUUGCCUUCUCCACCACUAAAUCCUCCUCUUCCUCGGUAUGAAAUUCUAGCUCUGCUUGACAUCAGCCUCACUAAGGUCAGGCCUUCUGCCUGGGUGUUUGUUUUCUUUAAGCACUCAUAGCUUGUUGCUGUGCCCAACAUUUCCUUGAGCCAAGUUCAACACCUCCAUCUCCACCAUCUCUGUUGCUUUUCUAUGAACUCCCUUGAAAUCAUAGCGUUGGGUGCCCAGAAAGGUCUGUGCUAUUUCAGGUGUUGUCUAACCAGUAACCUCAUGGAGAAACUAUUUUGCUCUCAGCUUUGCCAGUUGGUUGUGUUGUUUAUUUUUCUUGUUUCACUGACAGAUCGAGUUGCAUUUCAUGUCAUUAAUAAAGAUGUAAAAGAAUAUCAAACCUAACAGUGACCUCCGAAUGGAAUCCACCAGCUCUGCCAGCAGUGCACUCUCUUGGUUGCCUUCUUGCUUUUCUCCCAUCUAGCUCUUUGCCUUCAUGGACUAUUCCAAUCCAAGCCAAUUUGAGUUAAUCUUAUGUGAUGGGAAGAGACACUACGCUAAAGGCUUCAUCACAGUAACAAUCAGAUACAUGUGGAAACCAGAUGUUGUCUUCUAUGAACAUUUGCAUAAUUUGGAAAGGAAUUUGAAAGGAAAUUUGUUUCUCUUCUGUGUCAAACCAGACUGAGAUUUGCUACAAAGUGAGAUUUUUUUUCAAUGAGAAAAAACACUCAGUGAUAAAAAUUGGCUGAAUGACAUUUUUAUGUUAAUUUAAAUUAUUUAAGCUUAUGCAAAACUGAAAUGGAAAAGACAAAAUACUCCAAUAAAAUCAAAAUACUCCAAAAAUGCUGAUAAAAUCCAGCUGUGCUGACACAAUGCAAGGUACCUCCACAGAACAGCAUUUCCCAGCAUAAAACUUUCUGAUGAGAGCAGUAUUGACUUGUAUCAAUAGCCUCUGAUAUGUAACCCCCAACCCAAGGAGAACUCUCGUUUCCUGGAAGAGAUGUCUUUGCAGAGGUGCGUGUCUUUUCUCAUCUCAAGUAUUUAGUUCUUUUUGAAUCUGCUACAGACAAUGAGAUUAUCUUCAGGAAGGAGGGGGUACAAACCAGCCUACAGCUGCCCUGGGCUCAGCACGAGCAUCCUUGCUCGGGGCUUUCCCAUCUAACAGAUCUUAUUUGUAUUUCAGGCUAACUCAGGGUUCUCUGUGGCUUGCCUGAAGAAGACUGUGUUGGGAAUAUCAGUCAGGGUCAAAGCAGCCCAUUUGCUUUGGCAAGCAUGGUGUGAGUGUAGUUAGCUGAGUGGCUGACCACUGCCUUCACUCUGUGUAUGGACAGUCCUGGCCAUUUAUCUUGGGUGAUGGCCAGCAGUUCCUGCUAGCCUCAUGUUACAGGGCUGUGUUUGAACUCAUCUCCAUCGUCCCAGGCAUCCACAUGUGUGACACACACACAUGCACCAUGCCACAGAUGCUGUAGAUUGGCUGCAGCUGAGAUAAAUAUUAUUCCUAUAUCAUGAUGAGGAUGAAAAUGUCCUUUUGGAGGGUUUGGAAGAGGAGGCUCGGUUUGUUGUGGUCUGCCCUUGGGCUCCUUUUGACUUUUUCUUUCCUGAAAACAGGAGAAAACCCAGCCUGCGAACGAAGGGGAUUUCAGUUCUCACUCGGACCUUGAUCAGGAAAACAGAGCACAUUGUUUGUGAUGGCAGCCUCCACCAAAACAGCUCAGGGGCCAAGUUAAGGCUAAGGAAGAAAUUCAGCCUUCCCAGCAAUGAGAGAUCUGCGUGCUUUCUUCCCUUGCUUCCACUGGUUUCUGUGCAUGCAGCGCUCUGCUUGCUGUGGCCACAUCAUCUGCAAGGUCCCAUUCCCCUUUCUAUCCCAAAGGGGUUGGCGGCACAGCCUCUAAUCCUCAAAGUGAACAUCUUAAGGGCUGGAAGACUGAAAAUCCCUUCCCUGAACUGUGAGGGAAUCCUGCCUUGCUGGGGAGUUGUUCACAGGCAAAGCGGUUUUUACUGUGUCCAUCAGAUGACUUUGGAAAUCAGAUGCAGGAAACAGAUUCAAUGGCUGAUGAUUUGUUUUCCAUCUAUUUAACCUUCAUCAGCAGAUAAACUACCAGGAGUGACAGGACCUGGAUGCAGAGUCCUUACACACUUAAGCACAUGUGUAAACCUGACUUCUGUUCGAUCUAAGCCUCUGUCUCACAUAAAUGCAGAAACUGGAAUCGAUGCAACGAGUCAGAGCAAACACAGACUGAGCCAUAGGGUUUCUCACUAUAAAUGGAAACUGACCUCAAAGAUGAUUGCAGCCAAACCAUCCGUUUGCAGGUGAACUCAAACCAGAAUGAAGCUCUAAAGCACAAAUCGGGUCCAAAGCAUCCCUUGCCUGGAGCAUGGACCGCUGGAUGGGUGCAUCUUGGCUGAGCCACGGUGAGCAGAGGUCCAUGGAAUGGUGCCCAGCAGUGCAGCGCAGGCAGCAAGGCACGAGCUCUGCAUAACCACAGCAGUGACAACGGAUGCAACCAGUCCAGUGUGUCAGUGACACUGGUAUGACUGUGGCCCCUGAGCUCUCUGACCCAUAACCAGGGACAUCCUUGCUUCAUCUCUCCAGCUGACCAGCCUCUUGGUGACCAUGAAAGGACCUUAUUUCGUGGAGCAGACACGAGUGUCCGAAGCACCAAGAAGACAGUUGUGAGUGUGCUUGAGCAUAAGCCUGCCACCACAAACCCCUGGAGACCAGCGAUACCUGUCCUGUAGAACCCUUGGCAUGAGCAGGGCUCUUAGGUCUGGCUCAGCAAACCCUGUCACAUCAGCAAGAGAAGAGGUGGAUGAGCCUCAUUCAUGUGCUAUGCAUGAAGGCAGGGCUGGGCUGGGCUGGAUUUUCUCCCUUUUGCUUUACCAAGGUGAUGCUGGGCAGGCUGCUCCCCUGGGAUGGUGCUGGACCAGAUGAGGGUGCGUGUCCACUGGUGGAGGUAUUUACGGACCUUACAACAUAUGCUUAGGGUGGUGGGACUCCUGGGUGUGCUUUGUGGCUGUUUGGUGUAUCUACUGCUUACUGCUAGGUAGUACUGAGCAGGUAACCUGUGGUGUGGGUAGUUGUUAAUGAGGUUUCUUUUGACAUGGGUGGAAAAAGCUGUUGUGGUCUCUGAUCACUUCUUCAGCAAACACUGUUAAUGGAGCAGUCCAGAGAGCAAACAGGACUUCUGUCUCUUGGAUUAGGGAUAUAGAAGGAUAUUAGGGAUAUAGAAGGAUAUUAGGGAUAUAGAAUAGAAGGGAGAGCAUAUUUUGUGUGGUUCAGAGAAUUAAAUCUGAUAGGUCAGGAGCUGACCUGAGCUUGGUUUCACAGACCAAGAUAGGGAAACAAGCAACAGUUAGAGUAGGCAUGUUACUUUAGAUUAGUGCCGGGCACCCAGGGGUGCUCCCUGGGCUGUACAUUAGUGUAACAUACUUUCCUCACCAAAAGUAGACCUCUCUGUUGUGCUGGUAGCUAAACCAGACCAGUCAUGUGAGUGAAGUCCCAGAGAGCAAUGCUAUUCCAGGACAGGAAUAGAGUUUUAUUUUAAACUCCUUCAAACUGAGAUUAUCUGCAUGAAAAUAGGUAUUUGUAUACCAGGAUUAAAGUGUCCAUGUGGGAAGUUACACCAGUGCAUCCAGAUUACCUGGAGCUUUCAUCCCAAGGAAACUGAGCUGAGGUUCAGUAUUACUUGGUUUGGGAUGGGAGUGGGGGUGAGCUGGGGAGUGGAUGUUGUUUGUUCCCAAGGGAGGAUGGAUUUUCCAAUAUGGUUUCCUGCAGAAAAUUCCAAGUUCCCAGAAGUUGCAUUUGCAUUUGCUUGCCUGAAAGACCCAUUGCAGUGGAGAACUCCUGGCGAGCUCUGAAGCUCAGUUAUUUUGGGGUGAGCCUAUGUAGAGAUGUCAGCAAUGCAGCCAACUAUUAGCUAAGUUACUGCAGAAUUUGAUCUCUUACAUAUUUCUCUUUAAUGGAAACAGAGGCAUCGACAGACUCAGUGGUUAUUUAUGUUCCAGAUAACUCCCUGCCCUUGGUUUGGAGAAACCUUCAUUGUUCUCUUCUGCUCAGGGAAUGAUUUCUUUAAUGCAACAGUCUCUCCUGGUAAGUACCAUAAAAUAGCAUGUUGGGAUGAUGGAAGCCAUAUACAUGUCUUACAAGCCCAGUGCUUGCUGUGCUGUGGGACAGAGCCCUCAAUCUUGGCUGUCUGAGCACAGUGCAGGGCAGCACACAGGCAGCAUCCCACCCACCCAUGUGGUGCAGGCUGUGCUCCUGCCCCUGCACUGCCUCCCCCCAAUUCCCCAGCCAUGACCUUACUGUAGCUAUUUCCAUGCCUGUAAAUCACACUGCCUGCGGGAGACGAUGCUGUUCAUUAUGUCACACGCAGACAGAUUUACAGCGUGCAGCAACAGUCACAGCUAUUCCUACUUGAAAUGACGUGAGAUCUGCACUCAGUGGGCUCCCUGUAAAUCACAGCCAGGUCCGUGCAUGGGCUGAGGGGCUCUUCCCACCCACUGGCAAAGGCUGUGGUUGUUGGUGCUGACAUGCGAAAAGAAGUUUGUUUUCAAACAAAGUUAGUUUUCAGGCUCAGCCCCCCAAAACCAACCUACCAUCACUCCAAAUGGGCAAAGUGGGAACUUGUCUGUAGAUGCCCAUCUCCUAGGGCACCACCAGAGCUGGGCUGCAUUAUCCCUGUGCCCAGCUGAUGUCUUUUCCCUCCCUUUCCUCCCUGUUGACCUUUGCAGUUCAGCUAGAAAAAGAAGCCAGAACCAAGUUUCCACCUGAGGGGAUGUCAGCUGAAUGCCAGGGCAUCCUAGUGGAGUAUGCCUAAUACCUGGGCCUAGCCUUGCCCCAAGAAAGCAGUCCAGGUUCAGCUUCUUAUGUCCCAGAGUGGACACUCAGAGCUGAAACGUGGGACCAUCUUCAGCCCUUCCUGUAAGCCUCUUUUGCAAUCAGUGCUCUCUGUAGGCAGGAAGUCUGGGUUGGAUGCCAGGGCAGAGCUGCAAGAGGAAAACCAACAGUUCCUGAAUGAUCCGUUUAAACAACAAAUGAGUGGAAUGCCCACUUGGCAUGCAGUCAUUUUCCAUUUCCUGGCUCCCCAGUGAUUUCCAGUGCUGUUGCUGUGUAAACCCACAGAGCAAACAUCUUGUGUUACCACCCACUUGCUCACUGAGUGGCUUCCCAGAGUCUGGGCAUCCAUGAGAUGCCUCUGUCUCGCUUUCAGGUCCAGCUCUGCUGGCUCAGCCACCUCCAUGUGUUUUAGUGCAGAGUGAGCAUCCCCCACAGGAAUUCAUGGCAGUUCAUCUCUUGGCUGUGUUUAGGGUAAUCCUAUGUUUUUCUCAUAACAAGAAAGAGCAUCUGUGACACCCGUAGGCAGCGCUCCAGCAGUUAAAGGGUAUGCCAGAAAGGGCCUCUCAUUUGUCUCUUCUCCUUUGUCUCCCUGUGCAGUGGUGGCAGUGAUUCAUUAGAUGGACCUUCUUCCACUGCUGUCUUGCUAAAGCUAGGAUUCUAACUGACUUGAUUGACUUCCAGCACAAGAAUUGCCCUGAUUUUCCCAGGUGACCAAGAAAAGCUGGGUCUGCCUCAGGGGGCUACCUACCUUACUGCUGGGUGGGCUCUUUUUUUGGCAAAUGCUAUGUUUUUUUGGGCACGAGGCAGUGGGGAUGGGUGAAGCAUCAUUGCUUCCAGGUUAGAGGAAGCCAAAGGACUGGAACCCAAACCCCUGGGCCUGCUUUGUAGGUGGAAUCCUUUGGCUUUGGAGGGCUCUUGCAGUUUCCCCAAGGCAGGGCAAGUCCAGAGAGUGGUCACAGCCCUUGUCAGCACAGUAAGACUUGCCCUGACAGCCCCAGGCAGGCAGCAAAUGCCUGGAGCCGUGCUUGGUGCUGCUGCUGCUCCAAACCCCUCUGAGUGCUGAGGGCAUCCCUUCUUCUCUGUGGAUGCAGAUGAUGCUCCAAGUGCAGGUGGCAGGGAGACCUGGCAUGUCCCAGUUCCUCGUGCACAUCCCACCUUAACUGCUUUGCCAUCCCCAGCAUCGAAGCUGCUUGACAUCAGCUUGGCCACGGUGGGCUCGUGUGACUGCCUCCCUUGUGCUCCUUCACAAGUCCAAUGAGACGGCCCCAGUUCAUGUUACCUGGGUAUAAUGCCUCGGGGCUUUUCUGUUUGGACACUGCAUGUGGAAGGCAGCUGUCAAUUAGCAGAUGGAAAACCAGCCUGGAGUGCUAAUGAGAGCAAACCUAAUAGAGACCUUCCCAAAUUGUUUCCAUCCAGUUCUCAGGGCCUUUAAUUGCUGUCAUAUUAUCAGGAUGCCAGAAGGAAAACACAGGGGAAAAAGCCCCUUUCGGAGGUGGAUUUGUCUCUGCCAGGACUGACUCAGAGGCAGCUUCUCCCCUAAAUUUCAUUUACAGGAGUCUCUUCACUUGGUUCCAAAGUUACAUUUGGGGCUGGGCCAGCUCCUGCAAUGCCUUUUUCCCCACAGUGAGGGUGGGAGCAGGAUGUUCUACCAGCCACCAUGGCCAGAUGGAAGGCUGGGAACAGAUGCUGUCUCCUACGCACCCCCAGUGCUUGAUGUUGGCUUUUUCUUAAGGAAUGUAGUGAAAAAGGGAAUAUGAUGUACUGCAACAGCAAUGGUAAAAUGCUUAAUAUUCCUCUAUUCUUACCAAAGAAAAGGCUUCCUGAUUGCUGUGUUGGUAAGGGCAGUGAUGGAGCCCCAUUGCAUUAGGCACUAAAAAGAAAGUGAGAGGAAAAGGCAAUGAAUGAAGCAUGGAGAGGACAAGAACAAGAAAACAAAGUGGUUUCUGAAGCUAUUAUAUAUAGACAGAAAGACUUACCUUUAAUCCCUGCAUGUAUUUACAGGUACCCAUUGUUGGCAGUGGAUAUAUUUACCUGAGGGGCUUUUCUCAGGCUCACUCUUUGAAAUGAGGGGUGAAUGGCUGCUCUCUUGUGGUUAUAGUGUUAGUUUUCUGCAGUGGGAUUGGUGUUCCUUGCAUGACGCAGGCCCCUAACAUACAUUAUGUUGCCCGGCAUUCAUUUUCUUGCUCUCAAAAGCUUGUGGCUCUGUAUAUAUUAUGUGCCUGCUUGUCUGCCUGCAUCACCAUCCUGGUCCAAAGGUAUCCAUCAUCUGAGGAUUUGCUCCUGCAGUGUCUGGCCUCAUACAGUUGUUUGUUUCUGGAUUUGAACUGUGGUGGAUGUGCUUUGUCCAGCCCUCAGCUAAUACAAAAGCCACAGGAGAGCACAUGCUCUUGAAGAUACUUGAGAAAUAAGGAUUAAAAACACGUGUUCCAUGGAGAUAAA